UACAGAGGUGGCAAGCGUUGUUCGGAAUUACUGGGCGUAAAGGGUGCGUAGGCGGCGCCGUAAGUCAGGUGUGAAAUUUCGGAGCUUAACUCCGAAACUGCAUUUGAUACUGCGGUGCUUGAGGACUGGAGAGGAGACUGGAAUUUACGGUGUAGCAGUGAAAUGCGUAGAGAUCGUAAGGAAGACCAGUGGCGAAGGCGGGUCUCUGGACAGUUCCUGACGCUGAGGCACGAAGGCCAGGGGAGCAAACGGG
rnacentral:rRNA from 1 species